rnacentral:rRNA from 1 species
CCCAGACUCCUACGGGAGGCAGCAGUGGGGGAUAUUGCACAAUGGGGGGAACCCUGAUGCAGCGACGCCGCGUGGGUGAAGGAGCGUUUCGGCGCGUAAAGCCCUAUCGGCAGGGAAGAAGGAGGACGGUACCUGACUAAGAAGCCCCGGCUAACUACGUGCCAGCAGCCGCGGUAAUACGUAGGGGGCAAGCGUUAUCCGGAUUUACUGGGUGUAAAGGGGGCGCAGACGGCAGCGCAAGCCAGGAGUGAAAGCCCGGGGCCCAACCCCGGGACUGCUCUUGGAACUGCGCGGCUGGAGUGCAGGAGGGGCAGGCGGAAUUCCUGGUGUAGCGGUGAAAUGCGUAGAUAUCAGGAGGAACACCGGUGGCGAAGGCGGCCUGCUGGACUGCGACUGACGUUGAGGCCCGAAAGCGUGGGGAGCAAACAGGAUUAGAUACCCUAGUAUC